rnacentral:misc_RNA from 1 species
UUCGUGCUUUCUUUGUGAUGGACCCCAUAGAGCCCGGGAGUGCCCAAAGAAGAGCAGACUCUCGGCAUUGAUUGAGGAGAGGGAGGAGGCCCCUUUCCCACAAAGAGAGGCAACCAUAGGCUCUUUGCAGUUAUGCGCCUUGAAGGUAGAAGGGCAGAGAACCAAGGAAGCCAGCAAGGGGCUGCCUUUUGUCCAAAUGAGGGUAGGAGGACAGGAGGUGCUGGCACUGAUGGACACAGGGGCGUCUAACAACUUCCUGAAGGAAGAGGAAGCCAAGAGGUUGGGUAUCCCA